AAACAAAACCUCAGCCGCCUAAGGAGAAGGCCGAGGGCCAGACACCCAAGGAGGGAAGGAGAAAAGAUCGCACAGCUUGGUCUUCAUCCGGAUCUACGCAUUCUCCUCACGAUCAACGAAGAUGGAAGGGUCGAAGCCCCAGUUUCUCUCAAGCCUUCUAUUUCUAGGGGUAUUCGGGACAUCAGAGAAGGUGAGAGCUUUGUCCUUGACCAUCUUGAUAAUGUGAUUUUUCAUUGCAACAAGAACCACCGCUUCGUCGCGGAAUAUGAUAGCAUUCCUCUUCUUCCAAAUUAAGUAGCACAUGGCAGCAAAAGAGUAACGAGCUAAG
rnacentral:lncRNA from 1 species